AUUAUCUUGGCAGAAUAGUGUAAUGGAUUUAGAAUCUAUAAAUGUAAUUUAAGUUACAGAUAAUA
rnacentral:tRNA from 1 species